CUUAGAUGUGUAUUUUUCAUUUUUAUUGCAUUGUUGGUGUAUAUUUUCCUUAUCUGCUUGCCUUUCUCAUUAAGUGAUUUGACUGAGUUUUUGGAAUCAGUUGGGACAUGGGAAGUUUGGACCUUGAAUUCAAUUUCAUCUUUUAAGAUCAACCUUGUUGUGUUUUAAGUUUUAACCUUUAGUUAGUGGAAAUAUACUUUUAACAUCAAGCCUUCAUUUUUCUUCUCCUAUGCCCUCUUUACAUGUGAUUCAAAUUGAGGGCAAAGUGAGAAAUGUUGGUGUGUCAAUAAUAAACAUCCUAAGGCUGAUAAAUAGCUACAAUGUACUAUAGUUGAAUAGCAUUCAUUAUGUUAUUAAACUUAUUUAUGUGAUAGGCCUAGUAGCGCGGCAACUGUAUUCAUUACAAGCAUCAUAAAAUGUAAUUAAGCUUCUGCCGGUCCUUUUCUGAGUGUGUUUUAUUUUCAGAACUUUGUGGUAGUAGGAUUUUGAUGUACAUCAGUGUGCAGCUGAUCUGUAUGCUAGUUGGCACAUAAGUGUGAUUGCUUGCUGACAUGCCUCAUUCCACUAUGGUCUAUCCUUGAUUGGGAUUUGUGAUCCAAUUGAUUCAUAAGCUAUUUAAUUUUGCUUGUGGUCUUGGAAGAAUUGAAACAUUUCUUGGCUUUGUUUUUUGUUAAGGAGAGACUAUGAGAAUUUAUCAGUGUUCUUGCACCAUAUGUAGUGGCGGGCUUGCAUUAGAUCAGCUUAAGUGGUUGGUGUUGGAAAUUGUUUUUCUGAAACCUUAUGAUCAAAUGCUUGCUAUUAGAAGAUGUUUCUUUUUUUUUUUGUUUUAAAUUAAUGUUAAAGAACCUCAGUAUUGUUUGGUAGCAUCUUUAGAUGCAAACAAUUUUCUUACCCUACUUUUUGCUUAUUUUAGAUCUCUAAUCUAACAACAAUGUUAUGUCCAUUACAGACUGACACUGGAAAAGUAUCUGCCAAGGUGAGAAUUAUCAGUUAAAUGUUCUUCAUGUUCAGUUAUAAUGUUUAAUUUAUCUUAUACCUGUAACGCGCGUUUAAGCAGAUGCUGAAUAGGUUCUCAUGUAUAGCACUGGCUGGUGUAGCAACAUUGUAUCUUUUGUAUUGGUGCUCUGAAGGAGGGCUCGCUGAACGUUAGUAAGGUAAGCUGAAAUUAUCAAACAUUAAACACGCCUUAAAUUGAUUCUUGCAUUUUUGAUAUUUACAUUUGUCUAGUAUUUUAUAGAUGUCCUCAAAAAAGCUUAUCUUAUUACAGAAACACACUAUUAAAAGACUGUUUGUUGAGAAAUGUGUACUCAACUGCUCUCGGCAUUUAAGAUACUCUCCCUUUAAGACAAGUGUGGUUAUUAUUACGAAAAACUGCAGCUUUCAACGAUGUCUACACCAUCUUUUGAUUUGAGAGGCAAAUGUUGAGUAUAAAAGGUUGGUUCUUUUACAAAAUUAAGAUCCUGUAACUUGCUUUGUUUUGAAAUGUGUGUACAGUUGGAUGGGUUGCUGAAGAGCUUAGGGUUUACACAGAAAAAGAGCUGAUUCACAGGUUAGAUGGGCUGGGCUGAACACCAUUCUAUUACUGCGUCAACAUGAAAGCGCUAGAUUGCAGCUAGUGGAGGCAAUGUCUUCAAUUCCGUACAAAAUUUUGAGGAACGGUUUAAUGCACCAUUUGCAUGCGAUGUAUCUCUCAAUGAUGAGGAAUAGCUACUGAUUAUUCGUCGUUUCCAUCAAGUGAGAUUACUAAUUCUUUCUUUUUUUUUACUUUUUUUUUUGGGUGCUUUUGCAAGCCUUUCUUUGUGUCCUUUUUGUGAUAAUUGCAAUCUGUUUAACUCAGGUUAUACGUCCCUUUCUUCUGAGAAGGAAAAAGGAUGAAGUUGAAAAGUAUCUUCCUGGGAAAACACAAGUAAUACUUAAAUGCGACAUGUCUGCUUGGCAAAAAGCAUAUUACCAGCAGGUCACUGACUUGGGGAGGGUCGGACUAGAAUCUGGUAAGUUAGACCUGCUUAACUAUUCUGCCCCAUUUGGAUGACUUUCUCAAAUACUAAAGUUUGGUUUGUACAUUAUGUUGGCAUUUAUUUUGAAUUUGUUUGUAGUCUAAAUAUUCUUUGGCAUGUUUACUUAUCGAAACACGUACUCUUGUAAAUUAUCUAUUUGCACCGUAUGUACUCUUGUAAAUUAUCUAUUUGCACUGUAUCUUCGUGAAAUCUGAAUUUCACACAUAAUUUGUUAUAUAUAGCUCUUUACUUACAAAAAUGCCCCUCUUAAAAAGAUCUUUUGGAUGUGAAUGUAUAAUUCCCCAACUUACGGUUCUUUUGAAAGAAACUGCACUUUGGAGGGUUAUUUAUGAAAAUUCAGAUUCUUCAGGGGUUUGUAAUUUAACUAGAAGGUUUUGCUGCUAUAUAUAUGCAAAAGCCUAAUAUUCGUUUCAUGCAGAGGGCCACAUUCGACUCUUCGCAGGCAUAAAAUCAAAAUCUCUCCUGAAUUUGUCAAUGCAGCUCAGGAAGUGCUGCAAUCAUCCCUACCUAUUCGUAGGAGAAUAUAACAUGUGGCAGAAGGAACAAAUUGUUAGAGCUUCAGGGAAGUUCGAAUCGUUGGAUCGUUUACUUUCAAAGCUUCAAAGAACCAGUCACAGAGUUCUACUUUUCUCCCAAAUGACACAUCUAAUUAAUAUCUUAGAAAUCUACUUGCAACUUUACAAUUUUAAGUACCUUCGAAUUGAUGGGUCGAUGAAGACCAAAGAGCGAGGGGCAUUGCUUAGACAGUUCAAUGCGCCAGAUUCUCCCUAUUUUUAGGUUUCUAUUGAGCACACGACCUGGUGGUCUCGGAGUGAACUUACAGGCUGCAGAUACUGUAAUUAUCUUUGAUAGUGACCGGAACCCUCAAAUGGACCAACAGGUGGAAGAUCAAGCCCAUCGAAUUGGGCAGAAGGAAGUUUGGGUUUUUGUGUUGGUUAGUGUUGGCUCGAUCGAAGAGGAGAUAUUGGAUCGUGCAAAACAGAAGAUGGGUAUUGAUGCAAAGGUCAUCCGGGCAACACUACCUCCACAGGUUGGUGUUCUUAUUAAGGCAGAUUGCGUUGCAUCUACAUGCUUUUCAAUUAUUUAUAUUGUUGAUCAGUUUCAAACUCGGUGUAGAGACACGGAAGUUGGAAAAAGCAAACAAAAUCCAUAUUUGUAGAGUUUGCAAACAAUCUGCCAACACUUCCAAAGGGAACAGAGCAAAUUCUCAAAAUUUUAACCUGGAAUUAUCUUAAGGAAAAGGGGAGAAAUAAAUUAUAUCAAUCAGUGAUCUAAAGUGUUCGUUCUUGUUUCUCUUUGCAGCACAGGUGAGAGCUGUUGCAAGAGAUCAUGCGGAGAGGAACGAGCACUCUGGGAGCUGACAUCCCUGAGCGAACGUGAGAUUAGUCGUCUGACGGCACGUAAUGAAGAGGAGUUCUGUCUAUUUGAGAAGAUGGAUGAAGAGAGGCGGCACAGGGAAAGAUACAGAUCGAGGCUAAUGGAGGAAAACGAAGUGCUCGAAUGGGUAUUCCCCAAAAACACCAGAAGUAAAGCAAAGGGAACCCUAAUCUCGGACACCCAUAACAAUCAAGUUAGCAGAAAGAGGCAGCGUAAGGAGGUGGUAUGUGCUGAUUUAUUGAGUGAUAUCCCGUGGAUGAAGGCUGUGGAUGAAGGGGAGGACUUGUCGAAGCUGACCGCUAGGGUGAAGAGGAAAGAGCGCCCUUCCAACGUGCAUGAAUCUGUCGCUUUCAAGGAGAACAGUGAAAACAUAUCGAGUUAAACUUUGAAAAAGUUACAAGUUGGAGCGGCCAAGAAAGAUGACGGUGAAGGUGUAGUAGGCGAGGUUGUUUAUAGUAGGUGGCAAAACAAUAUUGUCACGCGGAAGACUCGCAAGAGAAAAUGCUCUAGCCACGGCUACUCCAGUUCAUCAUCGGAUGUGAAAGGACGGCAGGGUCUAGAAAGAUAGCCUGAGAUCCGUCGCAUUGAAUUUUAUAAGUUAAAAAGAGACUAUUGAAAACUGUCUUUUUCUGUAUUGUUUGUUCAUUAUUUUUUCUUGUAUUCCUCCUAAAGUGAUAGCUUAUGGGAUUUAAAACUAAUAAUUCUUAGAAAUAUUACGAAGGUAGGCAAUUAUAAGCAGUUUCACAGCUGGGGUUCGUGCAAAAAGAUUAUGUAGCCUUUAUUUAAUUUUCAGUCUCGUAAAAUUUACAGCUUUAGCUGCUGAUGGAUUGCUUAAUGUUUUUGAUGAUUGCAUAUUUAGUGGUACUGUUAAGAAGAUUCUAGGAGCAUAUUUGGUUCAUCAUUUAUGAUUAGAAUAGAAAUAGGAAAUGAAAAUCAAUUGUAUUAGAAUAAAAAAUAAAAUGAGAAAUUACUUAAAAUUAAUUGGCUCAUUACUGAAAUAGAAAUUAGAAUUGAUAUUUAUAAUUUUGAGAGAGAAUUUUGAUUAAGACGGAGAAAAGUGAUGAUGAAAGAGAAGUUCAUCGUGUCUGUGAGAAAAGACUUUUUAAGUAGUUUAUUUUGGAACAGACAGUGAAAUUCAGAAUUGGAUUGGAAUAUAAAUAGAUUUGAUCAUUUUUAUUUAAGGAUGGAAUGAAAGUUAAAAUUCGAUUUUUAUAAAACAAAUGAUGAUUAUCGAAAUUAAUAAAUUUUAUUUAUAUUUCGAAGUUUAAAAUAGGUGAACCAAUUAGGCCGUCAUUGUUUUGGAAGUGAAAACUGUACGUGGAGUUACUGAAAAUGAUUUUUGAGCUUAAUGUGUAAUUAAAUUGGCUCUCUUAGUUUCAGUUUGUUCCAAUCUUAAAUGUCCGAGGGAAAUUUGUAGCGCGAAAGUGAAAAACUUAUUAUUACUUUUAUCAACAUUUUUGUUCUAAGAAGAUGGCAUCGUAUACAGUCCUGCUGUAACAGCUGGAUGAAUCAGCUCCCUCCACGCUGGCGAUCUUCCACAAACCAUUCCGACCAAUCAGAGGGAAGCACCCUUUCAAACUCCUCCCCUCAUCACCUCCCUAUAAAUACUUCCGAUCAUCUCGUUCCCACAAACAAAGCCUCUCUCUCUCUCUCUCUCCCUCUCUCUCUCUCUCUACCUCUCCCUCUCUCGAGUCUCGUGUUAGGGUUUCCAUCCAUUCCCCUUGAUCUCCUCCGCACUAGGGUAAGGGUUUCGACUUUCGAGAGAAUCACCUGUCCUCUUUCUCUUUAGGGUUAGGGUUUCGAUCCAUUCCGUUCUCCUUCUCCACUCUAGGGUUAGGGUUUCGAUCCAAACUGCGACACCGACGACGAUGAGCUCCUCGGGAUCGACCAAGGGAGGGCGCGGCAAGGCUAAGGCGACGAAAUCGGUCUCCCGGUCGCAGAAGGCCGGUCUCCAGUUCCCCGUCGGCCGCAUCGCCCGCUUCCUCAAGGCCGGGAAGUACGCCGACCGCGUCGGCGCCGGCGCUCCCGUAUACCUCUCUGCAGUCCUCGAGUACCUCGCCGCCGAGGUCGGUGAUCGAUUCUUGCCUUGCCCUAGAUAUCACUGUAGAUGCAUCUUAUGUGCUGUGAAAGGAUCCACAUUUCUAAAAUUCGGAAAAAGAAAUUAGGAUAAUUUUUUGGGGACAAUUAGGGUAUCAGAUCUUGGAUAGUUCUUUAGCUGAAUCGUUUAGUGGCUUUGAAAUCAGUAUUUGGUGUAUUAACUGCGUUCUUUUGAAUCAAACAAUUGUUUAGGAAUAUCCGAUGCUUAGGUAAUUGGUUUUUCAUAUAGUUCUUUAGAUGUUUUUGAUAUAUUUGUUUGAUCAGAUUUUGGAUUAAAGCAUUGGUGAUCAUUAAAUUUGUCUGAGUGUGAUGUAUGAUUUGUUUGCAUAUGUGAGAGGCAGGCAACAAUUUUCUUGUCUUGUUCGUAGUGUUAGCUUUUAUGUUCUUGCUGUGUUCUUGCUUUGGUUCAGUCUGAUUUGAUGUGGAUUUCAUUUCAGGUUCUUGAGUUGGCUGGCAAUGCUGCGAGGGAUAACAAGAAGAAUAGGAUUGUGCCACGGCAUAUACAACUUGCGGUGAGGAAUGAUGAGGAACUGAGUAAGCUUUUGGGAAUGGUGACAAUUGCAAAUGGUGGGGUUUUACCCAACAUUCAUCAGACUUUGUUGCCCAAGAAGGCGGGGAAGGAUAAGGGGGAACUUGGAUCAGCGUCACAGGAGUUUUAGAUUUGUGUUAGCUAUAAAUAAUUUGAGUAAGGAUGGAAAGGUUUUGUUGUUGGUGUGGUUUCUUUUUUCUGGGUUAUGAUUUGUAAUGUAUGGAGUAGGUUAGGAAUAUAGUGCUUUUUGAUCUUAAUUAACUGCAGUUUUUAAUGUCAUAAAAGCUAAAACUACUGGGGUGAAAUGAUGUGCAUCUUUGAUGUGUAUUUGUCUUUUUUAUUGCACUGUUGGUUAUAUUUUCCUUAUCUGCUUGUGUUUCUCAUUAAGUUGACUUGACUGAGUUUUUGGAAUCAGUUGGGACAUGGGAAGUUUGGACCUUGAAUUCAAUUUCUUCUUUUAUGAUUUACUUUGUUGUGUUUUAAGUUUUAACCUUUAGUUAGCAGAAAUGUACUUUUAAUAUUAACCCUUUACUUUUCUUCUCCCAUAUC
rnacentral:lncRNA from 1 species